CAGUCGCCGCGGGAAUACGAAGGGUGCAAGCGUUACUCGGAAUUACUGGGCGUAAAGCGUGCGUAGGUGGUGGUUUAAGUCCGUUGUGAAAGCCCCUGGCUCAACCUGGGAAUUGCAGUGGAUACUGGGUCACUAGAGUGUGGUAGAGGAUAGUGGAAUUUCCGGUGUAGCAGUGAAAUGCGUAGAGAUCGGAAGGAACAUCUGUGGCGAAGGCGACUAUCUGGGCCAACACUGACACUGAGGCACGAAAGCGUGGGGAGCAAACAGGAUUAGAGACCCCUGUAGUCCCUGUCUCUUAUAC
rnacentral:rRNA from 1 species